GAGGGAGGGCGGGGUGCCCGCGCGCAGGACGGGACGCCAGGGUUUGUGUGGGGGCAGCUCGGAGAGGGGUAGGGAGGAGGUCCCAGGGAAGAACCUGGUUGCCAAAGUCUCGGCCAGUUGGAGAAGAGAUGGGUCUCCCGAGGAUACCCAAGCCCAAGCUCUACACUGUCCCAAGGUGGUUUGUUUUUCUUCUUUCUUCUAUUGGUCUGGACCUUGUAUAUUCUGGGAGGAGGUGAUUAAGGCCAAAUUGCCUUAAGUGGCCAUCCAGCCAGAAGCUGGAAGAAGGGAAGGAUGAGAGGGAAUGAACUGUUGUGUUACGGCUAUUGAGAGAAACAGUGGCAAUACACAGCCAAAGCCCUGAGUUUCUAAUACGGCGCCACCUCUUAUGAGCUGUGAGAUCUUGGGCAAAGUAACUAACCUUUAAGUAUUUGUCUGUAGAAUUGAGAUUGAAAUACUUAUCUUUGCCAGAAUUGUUAUAAGAAUUAAAUGAGUUGAAAGUGUUUCAUCAAGUGUGCAAUGCUACUCAAGUAGGAGGGACUAAGCUACUUCCUUCUCUCACUGCUUGACUGAGCUUCUCUCCAGCCCCACCCCCUGAUGUUUACUGCUUAUGGAGAAAGAGAUUAAGUGAAGCAGGCCCACACAUUCAUGAAGGUGGAAGGAAGAUGUAGCAGGAGAUGGUGGAGAGGGAAACAGAGGAAGACAGGAUGACAGACGUGGGGAGGAAAGGCUGAGCGAGGCAAUGUCCUGACUCACUCUGGCGCUUCCCUCUUUCCCAUCUGGGCUCCAGAGUCUCUGCCCUCAUUCCCCUUCACCAGGUUGCUCAACCCUCCAUCAGACUGUUAGGUCAAGGGUGGACAAACAGACCAACCGGGAUCUGGAUGGCCCCUGGGCAGUACUGACUUCCCCUACCAUUCCCAUGGCAAGAAAAGGGAGUGAUUCCACUAGCAGACUCCCCUACCCUGCAGUGAGACAGCCUGUAGGAAGCCUCAACUCCCGACCCAUGGCCUGUGGUGAGAGGUGCUAACAACAUGACCUGCUUUCAUCUUGACCUUCCCAGCCCACCCAGAGAAAAGGGAAUCUUGGCUAAAAAAAGGCUGGAAGAGGGGAGAACCCUGGCACUGCGGGUGGGGCUGGGAGGAGCCCAGGCAACCUUACUGGUGAGAAUCUCAUGGCUCUUCAAGGUGAAUAUGAUGAUGAUUUCCCUGGGGUUUCUUUCAAUACUCAGAAGCCGCCCCGAGUUGGAAAGCACAUGCAUACUUGGGGAGGCCAGGGGAGGAAAAGGGGGGCGGCUCACUCUGACAGUAAAUGAAGAAAGUGGAAACAAAUUCAAGGAGCAGGCAGAGCUCCCGGUUUCACCAGAGCCCAACGGUUGGUAAUAAGGAUGAGAACAAUGUGCCUUCACUUCCUGGGAUCAGAACAGCACAUGGCCGCACAUGUACGGGUAUGCAUGUGCUUCCAUAAUCAUAUACUUUCCCAGCUUCUACUCUGCCUGUGGUCUAAUUUCAACUCCUUCAGCUGCUGUACCCACCCAUAAAAUUAUGAGUGUAAAAGCACUUUGCAAACUGACUGCUAAGCUGGAUGCGUAGGGGAAAGCAGAGAAAAGGUGAUUUACUGGGACACAGAGACACAGGCUGGAAGAGAUAGCAUGUGUUUCCUUAAAAUUUGAAGCAUUUGGCUGGGCACAGUGGCUCACACCUGUAAUCCCUGCACUUUGGGAGGUAAAGGCAAGAGGAUUUCCUGGGCCCAAGAGUUAGAGGCUGCAGUGAGCUAUGAUUGUGCCAUUGUACUCCAGCCUGGGAGACAGAAACCCCCUCUCUUAAAAAAAUAAAAAAAUAAAAAAUGGAACCAUUGCUCUGAGUUUCUAAUAGGGGGAGU
rnacentral:lncRNA from 10 species